rnacentral:rRNA from 1 species
AUUGAACGCUGGCGGCAGGCCUAACACAUGCAAGUCGAGCGUGCGUCGGGAGGGUGAGUAAUGUGUGGGGACUUCCCGAUUGAGGGGGGUAACUACUGGAAACGGUGACUAAUACCGCCUACCCUCGAAUAUCCCCUAUGGGAUUCGCUAGUGGGUAAGGUAAUGGCGUACCUAGGCGACGAUCCCUAGCUGGUCUGAGAGGAUGAUCAGCCACACUGGGACUGAGACACGGCCCAGACUCCUACGGAGGCAGCAGUGGGGAAUAUUGCACAAUGGGCGCAAGCCGGAUGCAGCCAUGCCGCGUGUAUGAAGAAGGCCUUAGGGUUGUAAAGGACUUUCAGUCGGGAGGCGUUACCGACAGAAGAAGCACCGGCUAACUCCGUGCCAGCAGCCGCGGUAAUAC